rnacentral:rRNA from 1 species
AACGUAGGGGGCGAACGUUAUCCGGAUUUACUGGGCGUAAAGGGUGCUCAGGCGGUUGGGUAAGUCAGAAGUGAAAUCCUAUGGCUUAACUGGAGAACUGCUUUCGAAACCGCGAAGCUUGAAGGUGGAAGAGGAGGGUGGAAUUUCCGGUGUAGUAGUGGAAUGCGUAGAUAUCAGAAAGAACACCUGUGGCGAAGGCGGUCCCCUGGUCCAUUAUUGACGCUAAAGCGCGAAAGCGUGGGGAGCAAACAGG